UUGAAGACCUAAUUCCCUUUCUCAUUUCACCAAUGAACUCAUUAUCUAAUUUUAGAAGCAAAAUUCAUAAAACAUCCCAAGUUGGAAGGAACCCACAAGGAUAACUGAGUACAAACCUCAGCUCCACAAAGGACCCCCCAAACCCAAACCCUGAGUCUGAGAAUGUUGUCCAAACACAAUUUGAGCUCUGGCAGCUUAGGGCUGUGCCCACUACCCUGGGCAGCCUGCUCCAUGUCCACUGCCCUGUGGUGACGAACCUUUUCCUAACACACCCCUGACCAUUCCCUGACACAGUUCCCUGCUGCUUCCUUGUGUCCUGUUGCUGUCACCAGAAAGCAGAGCUCAGUGCUGCCCCUUUACUCCCUGUGAGGAGCUGUAGGCUGCCAUGAGGCCUCCCCUAGGCCUGCUCUGGGACUCCUGUGUACCCUCCCACUCUUUGCAGUGUGGAACAUCUUUGUCCUGUGGCGUGAAGUCUGGCCUGGACCUCAUGGCAGGGAAAGACCCAGGGAACGUGGCAGCCCACGGCAGAGAAUUCUGUAUUGACCAUAACAUAAAAUCCAGAGAUACGACCUUGUCUGCAGAUUCAUCUGAGAAUGAAUAAGGAGCAGCAGCCCGUAACACAUGAGUAGACGUGGUACGAUGACACAUUUUGGAAGGAUAUUUAUGCAGAGUCCUCUUCCA